rnacentral:rRNA from 1 species
UACGUAGGGGGCAAGCGUUGUCCGGAAUCACUGGGCGUAAAGGGUGCGUAGGCGGGUCUUUAAGUCAGGGGUGAAAUCCUGGAGCUCAACUCCAGAACUGCCUUUGAUACUGAAGAUCUUGAGUUCGGGAGAGGUGAGUGGGACUGCGAGUGUAGAGGUGAAAUUCGUAGAUAUUCGCAAGAACACCAGUGGCGAAGGCGGCUCACUGGCCCGAUACUGACGCUGAGGCACGAAAGCGUGGGGAGCAAACAGG